AAAUAGGCUUUACUAAAAGCCACUCCUAGUUCCGUGGACACCAUC
rfam:Schistocephalus solidus strain NST_G2 genome assembly, scaffold: SSLN_scaffold0007845